CUCACCCACCCAUCCCACUUAUCCAUUCGUCAGAUCCCACCACAUCCCGCGACCUCCUCUCUCUCUCCCCAAGCAACUCCCCCUCUGUCGCCCCGCCUUGCGCCACCGGUAGCCCGAAGCGCCGCGCCGCUGGCCGCCCGUACCACGACUUGCGGCUCGGGGACUCCUCUUCCUACCUCCCCUAGCGGCUCCACCACCUACCUUCUUCCACCGCCGCCGACAGCGCCUCCAUGACUCCUCUGCCCCCGGCCACCGCGCCUCCUCUAACCCCGGCCGGCGCUCCACCCACCGCACCCAAGCCCAUCGGCCACCGCGUGCGCCUCCUCUCAUGCCCGCCCACAACGCCUCCCAUUCCCGAACGCAUCACCCCACCAUCCCGCACUCCACCUCCGCCGUGACCUCAUGGUGCGAGCCGCCGCCCUGGAGUGCCCGAUCUCCGCCGCACCGUGGUCCCCAGGCCCCCGCCGGCCACCCAGAGCCCACCUUCUUCUUUGAAGCCCCCCCCUCCGCGCACCCUCACCAUCUUCCUCGUCAGGCUCCCACGCCCCGUGCGCCGGCCACCGUCGACUCCCUGACGACGAAGAAACGGCGGGCGAAGCUGCAGUCCGGCUCCACAAGGCAUGCAGCGCGGAAGGGGUGCUCCCUGCCUUCCCACUGGCGGUGCGGUUCGGUCCACCCCUGAUGAGCAACACCCACCUCCACAUCACCGCGCCGCCAUGGAGAGUGGUGAUCACGGAUGGUGCUCGCAUAUCCUGCAGGUUCUCGUCCUCUCUUGGCUGUCGCGGCGCACGAGUGCAACCAGGCCAACGGCGGCGACCUUCUGCCUUCCUCCUCCUCUUGCUCGAGCCCAAUUGGGUCAACGGCAGUGCAGCCGGAUCCAGCGAGCAGUGCACAUCACACCCUCCUGUGGUUUGUUCACGACCACCAUGGCCCUCCCCUCCCCUGCACAGGCCAUGGCUCGCUGCGAUGUGCCACCGUGCUGGGCGUGCCAUGCGGUUCAGCAGUACCUGAAUCCCCUCGGGUGCUCUAAAUUCCUGCAGCUGAUUCAUCGCGGUGGUAACACGACCAGAACAAGAAGCGCUGGGAGAGGUCAGGCAGCUGAUCUUCCUCAAUCCCCAACAAAAAAAUCGACGAGGUGCUUCAUAGUUUCCGUGCGGUUUGCUUGCGCGCUCUGUGCGGUAACCCAGCAUCCUGUAGUUAGUUCAGGAAUCUGCAGUGCGUGGGUGCCACCGGAUGGGGGGACGAGGUGCUAUCCAUGGCACACUGGAGUUUUUUUGUGUGUUCGUCGCAGAAAACUUUUUUUUACUUUUAUUGGGGGAGAAUCAAAGUGCAGUGUGGUUCACUAUUUGCUGCCCUUGUGGUUUGUUGUACUUUUUAUUGGAGGAGAAAACUAGGAACACAAAAUAAAAAAAGUGCACUGCACACACUCUGAAGAAAAUACAUGAUGCAGUUUGGUUGUGCUAUUACUGUUUAUUGUAGGAGAAGCUUUGGACAGAAAAAAUGAGAAAAAAGUGCAUGAAUAUCAUAGAGACUGAACAGAUGCCAGGGCUGCAAGCCUGCAACUAAACCAAACCACACAAUAGACAACAGCCAAACACUGUCUAAAUAUAAACCAUAAUUAUUGAUAGCAUGGAUCCAGACAGCAUGAUCUGGAGCUAACUGAGAAAAAAGUAUAAACUUGACGCCAAGCUACCACAUGUUGGUUGCAGUUACACGAUAGUCAAUUUUGCAUCAACUGUAGCAGAUAAUUGCAACGCUACACAUGUUGUCCUCGUCUUUGUGAGAUUGAAGCCUCAUUCUGCUUCCCUGUGCCAUGAGAAAAAAGGAAACCAUCAUAAUCCAAGUACAGCGUGUUCAAGAGAUAAGAAAUAGUAACCGUGCUGCCAAGGAGCACCAGGGUAAAAGAUACAGCAAAAGGCAUGCGGCAAGAUAGCAGGUUGUCGAAGAAUAUGGCGCCAACAUGGGCGGCAGAGUCAGAGUAGGACGAGUGGGGCAGAGUCAAUUGUUGUACGAAGCUGCAGCAUGUACAGUUGUAUAGAUACAUGAGGGAAAGGCUAGUAGUAUCAGAAUUGGAGUUGUAGUUGAGUUCAGAUUGCUAGCAAUCUAGUACUAUUAUAUAUAUAUAGGGUGGGUCUAUUAUGAUAACACCCCUUAA